UGGGACCUCACAAGGGCUGAGCAGAGAGAGACAAUCACCUCUCUCACCCUGCUGGCCACCCCUCUUUUGAUGAAGCCCAGGAUACUGUUGGCUUUCUGGGCUAAAAGCACACAUUGCUGGCACAUUCCCAGCUUUUCAUCACUGGGAACCCAAGGUCCUUCUCCCAAUCUGCAUUCAUAUCUGGGAUUGUCCUGAUCCAAGUGCAGCACCAUGUACUUGGCCUUGUAGUACAUCAUAAAAUAACAUAUAAUCCACAUAGUGCAUAGAGUAUUCUGUCUAUUUUAUUUAUUAUUGCUGUUAUUACUAUAUUCUGCUCUGGCCACUGGAGACAAUAGGCAUAUAUUUUGCAGUGGACAGUUAAGGGUUGUCAAAUAAUUGGAUGGACUUUUUUCAUGUCUAAUCAUUUACAGAUUUGUUUAUACUCUAAUGUUCAAGUGUUCCUGUCCUGAUAUAUCUUGUCUAGGAAAGAAAGCACUCACACCAGCCACCACCACGUAAGUAAAACUUUGCAGAGCCACCUCAGUGAAUGUGAGGGACGAAGUGCUGAGGUCCUGCUCCCUGUUGGGUCAGCCAUCACCAACAUCCUCUUUGGUGCCAAACAAAAGGAGGAAUCGCAGGAUGAGAAUUUUGGCAAGAUGGAGAGCAGAUCUCUGGAAGGGUUUGUUCCAGUCUUACUCCUAAGUGGACCCUUCCUGUCACCCAUUAAUAAGUGGUUCGAUUCAUUAAUGCCGUAUUUUGUUUUGGUAAUGAUAGUCUGGGAGAUGGUGGAAACCCUUCAAAUACAGAGAUCAUCUUGCUGGGAGAGGCAGAGUGCUGCGUUUGUUUUUUGCUCAAUUAACAUUUGAAACUAAAUCACCAGAUUUGGUGGGAAUUCCUUCUCUAACUUUAAAGAGUACUGAAGCCUCAUGUAGUUUUGGUGGUUCUCCACAAAAGUUUUCAGUUUGUUUCUUGGUAUGUUCCACUUAAGUUUGCAGUAAGCUGCUGCUGGUGGCUCUUCUAAUAUACACAUUGCAAGAAAGACCAAAGGAUUGUAAUGCUAGAAUUGAAACAGAAAAUUGAGGUUUGUGCAAGGUUUGAAAAGUAGAAAUUUAUUUCUGCAUCCAGGGAAGAAGCGUGGCCUGUUGGGUAGAGCAGAAACAAAGCCAGGGCAGAUUUCUGGAUUUUAUUGCUGGCUUUGUUAUUGGCUGCAGUGAGACUUUAUUUGUGCUCCCACUUCCUGUUUUUAAGAUGAGGGCUAUACCAGCUGCAAGGGUGAAAACCAGUGGCUUUGCAAGAGCUUUGUCUCAUAGGCAGAAAAAAAAUGGAGAUGUCUUCUGUCACAAACAGUAUCUAGCCUUUAAAGUAACUCAGUUGAAGUAGUAAAUGCCCAUAUUAAAGAAAUCAACAGGUUUUAAGCACAUUUUUAACAAGAGCCUUUAAAUAUAUUGGGACCCAUCCCACCACUCAAUCCAGAAUUCUUUUGCUUGCUAAGAUACAGUAUGUGAGCGGAGCAAGGAGGAGGAAAACAUGAUUUUGCGUCUGACGUUUCAGAAAAUAAUACGUUGCAUGGGACUUUCUCCAACUUGUAGUCACUGGGAAAACUUUCUCUGGAGUCAACUGGCAAUUGACUAGCGCCAUGGAACGGACUUUUUUGACAGGAAAUAAGUGUCAAGUGCUGGCAUUUUGCAACUGUUCACUUUCCCAGGUGCAAAUGACACUGCAAGACUAGAAGAUCUGAGCCCUAUGAAGCUGAGCAAGUGUAACCACAAUGCCUCACUGGGGCUGUUUGGCUCUGGCCUAAGAGUUGGAAGAGCUGUAUCUUUGUUUUGAAGAGAAAAAACAAGCUUUGGAAAUGAUGCUUUGUGCCCAUGCAGCAAGCUGUGCUGUGGGCUCCCCGCUCUGCAAAGCACUGCAGCCUCCUUCCCCUGGGCCAGGGCAUGAGGCAGAGAGAAAUGAUGCUGUGCCUACCGCUGUAGUAUCACCAGCUCAGACCUGAAGCUGUCCAUAUACCAUAAGGUACCGUCCCAACAGCAGAAAAUAAGCAGCUUCACUAGGUGUUUUGAAUCACUGCAACACCCAGUUUGCCCCAUAAAAUCAGGACUGCAGAGGUCGAAGUCAAAAUGCUUGUUUGAUGGGCUUAAGGAGACAGAUGAAACAACAAAACCUUUCCCUCUGUCCCCAGAAAACAUUUGGACAUUUGCAUGCAGUGAGAUGUGCAAUAGGCCAGGAAUAAAUUAAGUGCAGAAUCUCUGCUCCUUUAAUGAAAUAAUCUGCUAAACUGAUGUUUGUACGUAAUUCAAAGGAAAUCCUUUUGAAGACAUAUGGUCUUUUCAUUGUGCUCCAUUCUGGCUCAAGUUUCACUGUACUAACAAAAUAGAUAAACUGUUGAUGAACCUGAUUCCUUUGCUUUUUUCAAGGUUCCUCUGAGUAUUUCUAACCUUACAGAUUCAAGCUUGUCCAAGCACAGAGUUUUGUGUCUCGGUUUCUUCCCCUUGACAAAAAUGGAGGACUGAAGCAGAGAUGGGAUUGUGCUGGAUGCACCACUGACAGGGCUGGAGUGCUGAUCAUACCAUAUUGCAGAAAUGCAAGACGUUCUUGGUUAAUCUGGAAAAGACUCACCGAAUCCAAGCAAAACAGCAAAUGAUUCUGCUGAAAGCAAGGGAAGAGUAAGCUAAGUGUGAGCAGCAAGGUCUGGUUUGGCUAAGUCUUUGACACACAACAAAGAUCUGUGCCCACACCUGGUGCCCUAGGCUGACUAAACUGGUGACAACCACUAAUACCUCUAAUC